rnacentral:rRNA from 1 species
GUGAAGCGGGAUGAGCUCAAAUUUAAAAUCUGGCUGGUUUACUAGUCCGAAUUGUAGUUUAAAGAAGCGUUUUCGGUGGCAGCCUGGGUAUAAAUCCUUUGGAAUAGGGUAUCAUAGAGGGUGAGAAUCCCGUCUUUGACUCAGUGAAUGCUACUAUGUGAUACGUUUUCAAAGAGUCGAGUUGUUUGGGAAUGCAGCUCAAAAUGGGUGGUAAAUUUCAUCUAAAGCUAAAUAUUGGCGAGAGACCGAUAGCGAACAAGUACCGUGAGGGAAAGAUGAAAAGAACUUUGAAAAGAGAGUUAAACAGUGCGUGAAAUUGUUGAAAGGGAAACGUUUGACACCAGUCAUGCGGGUGGAAAAUCAGUCUUUUAGAGUAGGGAGUGGUGGAGGUUCGGACCGCAAGGCUGGCCUUUAUCUCAUUUCUGCUCUAAUGGAUGCACUUUUUCAUUUGCAGGUCAACAUCAGUUUCUUCUGCUGGACAAAACUCUAAGAGAAGGUAGCAGCUUAGGCUGUGUUAUAGCUCUGGAGCGAUACAGUGGAGGGGACUGAGGUUUUCGCAGUGUGUGCUCUCGGGCAAGGUUGACUAGGUGCUAUGUGAUCGUUCGGUGUACAAUGCAUGCAUUUUGCGCUGUGUCUUUUGCAUACUCGCCUGGCUCGACUCUUCCACGCUUAGGAUGUUGACUUAAUGGUUUUAAACGACCCGUCUUGAAACACGGACCAAGGAGUCUAACAUAUAUGCAAGUGUUUGGGUGGCAAACCCAUACGCGUAAUGAAAGUGAACGUAGGUGCGAUCCGCAAGGUGCAGCAUCGACCGAUCUUGAUAUUUUUGGAUAGAUUUGAGUAAGAGCAUAUAUGCUGGGGACCCGAAAGAUGGUGAACUAUGCCUGAAUAGGGUGAAGCCAGAGGAAACUCUGGUGGAGGCUCGUAGCGAUUCUGACGUGCAAAUCGAUCGU